rnacentral:rRNA from 1 species
GACAGAGGGUGCAAACGUUGUUCGGAAUUACUGGGCGUAAAGCGCGUGUAGGCGGCCCUGCAAGUCGGAUGUGAAAUCCCACGGCUCAACCGUGGAAGUGCAUUCGAAACUGCAGGGCUAGAGUCCUGGAGAGGAAGGUGGAAUGCUUGGUGUAGAGGUGAAAUUCGUAGAUAUCAAGCGGAACACCGGUGGCGAAGGCGGCCUCUGGACAGUGACUGACGCUGAGACGCGAAAGCGUGGGGAGCAACAGG